GUUGGUUUGACCUUAAGCCGGUGAGCGAACCGCAAGGACGCAGCCGACCACGGUCGGGUCAGCGACUGGGGUGAAGUCAUAACAAGGUAGCCGUAGGGGAACCUGCGGCUGGAUCACCUCCUUUCAAGGAACUGUUCUGAGUUAAUUGGUUUUACUGAUUGAUUUGGAAUGUUCUGAAUAAAAAGUCCUUUGCUUAUGGAUCGGCAAAGGCGCUGUCUGUCAGUUUCUGAUGUGUUUGUGCAUCGGGGGCGCCGUCAACAUAUCCCU
rnacentral:rRNA from 1 species